AGAGUUUGAUCCUGGCUCAGGAUGAACGCUGGCGGCGUGCCUAAUACAUGCAAGUCGAGCGAACGGACGAGAAGCUUGCUUCUCUGAUGUUAGCGGCGGACGGGUGAGUAACACGUGGAUAACCUACCUAUAAGACUGGGAUAACUUCGGGAAACCGGAGCUAAUACCGGAUAAUAUUUUGAACCGCAUGGUUCAAAAGUAAAAGACGGUCUUGCUGUCACUUAUAGAUGGAUCCGCGCUGCAUUAGCUAGUUGGUAAGGUAACGGCUUACCAAGGCAACGAUGCAUAGCCGACCUGAGAGGGUGAUCGGCCACACUGGAACUGAGACACGGUCCAGACUCCUACGGGAGGCAGCAGUAGGGAAUCUUCCGCAAUGGGCGAAAGCCUGACGGAGCAACGCCGCGUGAGUGAUGAAGGUCUUCGGAUCGUAAAACUCUGUUAUUAGGGAAGAACAUAUGUGUAAGUAACUGUGCACAUCUUGACGGUACCUAAUCAGAAAGCCACGGCUAACUACGUGCCAGCAGCCGCGGUAAUACGUAGGUGGCAAGCGUUAUCCGGAAUUAUUGGGCGUAAAGCGCGCGUAGGCGGUUUUUUAAGUCUGAUGUGAAAGCCCACGGCUCAACCGUGGAGGGUCAUUGGAAACUGGAAAACUUGAGUGCAGAAGAGGAAAGUGGAAUUCCAUGUGUAGCGGUGAAAUGCGCAGAGAUAUGGAGGAACACCAGUGGCGAAGGCGACUUUCUGGUCUGUAACUGACGCUGAUGUGCGAAAGCGUGGGGAUCAAACAGGAUUAGAUACCCUGGUAGUCCACGCCGUAAACGAUGAGUGCUAAGUGUUAGGGGGUUUCCGCCCCUUAGUGCUGCAGCUAACGCAUUAAGCACUCCGCCUGGGGAGUACGACCGCAAGGUUGAAACUCAAAGGAAUUGACGGGGACCCGCACAAGCGGUGGAGCAUGUGGUUUAAUUCG
rnacentral:rRNA from 1 species